rnacentral:rRNA from 1 species
AGCGAACGCUGGCGGCAGGCCUAACACAUGCAAGUCGAACGAACUCUUCGGAGUUAGUGGCGGACGGGUGAGUAACACGUGGGAACGUGCCUUUAGGUUCGGAAUAACUCAGGGAAACUUGUGCUAAUACCGAAUGUGCCCUUCGGGGGAAAGAUUUAUCGCCUUUAGAGCGGCCCGCGUCUGAUUAGCUAGUUGGAGGUGUAAUGGACCCCCAAGGCGACGUUCAGUAGCUGGUCUGAGAGGAUGACCAGCCACAUUGGGACUGAGACACGGCCCAAACUCCUACGGGAGGCAGCAGUGGGGAAUCUUGCGCAAUGGGCGAAAGCCUGACGCAGCCAUGCCGCGUGGAUGAUGAAGGUCUUAGGAUUGUAAAAUCCUUUCACCGGUGAAGAUAAUGACUGUAGCCGGAGAAGAAGCCCCGGCUAACUUCGUGCCAGCAGCCGCAGUAAUAC